rnacentral:rRNA from 1 species
AACGAACGCUGGCGGCAUGCCUAACACAUGCAAGUCGAACGAGACCUUCGAGUCUAGUGGCGCACGGGUGCGUAACGCGUUGGAACCUGCCCUUAGGUUCGGAAUAACGCCCCGAAAGGGGUGCUAAUACCGGAUAAUGUCUUCGGACCAAAGAUUUAUCGCCUUUGGAUGGGCCCGCGUUGGAUUAGCUAGUUGGUAGGGUAAAAGCCUACCAAGGCGACGAUCCAUAGCUGGUCUGAGAGGAUGAUCAGCCACACUGGGACUGAGACACGGCCGAGAAUCCUACGGGAGGCAGCAGUGGGGAAUAUUGGACAAUGGGCGAAAGCCUGAUCCAGCAAUGCCGCGUGAGUGAUGAAGGCCUUAGGGUUGUAAAGCUCUUUUACCCGGGAUGAUAAUGACAGUACCGGGAGAAUAAGCUCCGGCUAACUCCGUG